CAGGCUGGGAGGUGCCUGUGAAGGCAGACCCCAAGUUUAAGUCUAAAGGGCUGAUGGGAGGGCUAGAAGAGGUGACCCAUAGACAUGUGCUUGGCGAGCUGCAGAAAUUUAGUUUUAAUUUUUAUUCUUGCAGGCAGAAGGUCCAAAUGACAAUUGACCUUGGCGUUCACUAGGCCAGCCUUCUGGGGCCAAGGCUGUCCCGACGUCUGAGGUCUUCUCUCCUUCCGUGGUAGGAAAAUCCCCUAUUGAGGCCCCGGAUUAUCUGGUUUCCUCGGCCACCAGCCUCUUGGAGGGUAUUACUGCAUCACCACUGGUUCCUAACAGUGCAUUCAAGUGACCCCGGGGCUCUGACCUCUAUCUGCUGAUGAGUCCUUCCCAAACUUCACAUGACGCGUAAAUAAAGACUCACUCCUCCAGCUCUGGAAAAAACUCUCAAGCCCCAGGGGCAAAGCCACCUGGUCAACCACGGAAAGCGGAGCCUCUGGAUUCCUAGCCAGUCCCUGCCUCUCUCACAUUCCAUAGACCCUGGACUUCCGAGAGUUUUUUUCCAACCUGGUCCCAGACAGCAAAGAGAGAAUGAAUAUCCAAUUGCUCGUGUCACUGUUACGCAACUAGAUCCCUGGUUGUGCCUUUCACGCCCCAAAAGUCUUAUCUUGGACCGUAGGAAGCUUUGUGUCUAGGGAUGGUCCUUAUGUCUGGCGACACCCAAGAGAGCUGGCAUGGAUUUAAACAUUCUUCCUCCAAAUUCCUCUUUGCUCACUUUACACUCUAGGUAUUACGAAAUCCUCACUCUGACGUUCGAUAACACUCCACUGAAUGUAUCCCAGAGCUUACAGUUUACGGGGUGCCUUGCCACAUCAAAAAAAAAAAAAAAAUGUAUUUAACACGACGGAAUAAGCAGACCAAUCCAUCAGAUGUGACUUUUCCUUCUAGACAACUAUUUGGUGAAGACUCAACCAGGGCAGGAACCUUUAGACGCUAUCUGUAAAACCAUGCCCCGGCUGGCACAAGUCCAGCCGCACGGACUAGCUGGAAAGACCGCUCACCAGGAGUGAGGUCUGGAAAUCCACCUCCUUACAGAGCUGUGGAAAGGUCCCCAGGGGAUAAUAAACACACCGAUGGUGCUUGAAAAUCUUACACCGGUAGCACAGCCCUGAGGACUCAAGCUGUGUUCACAAGCAGGUCAAACUGGCUGGGGCCAAAAGCUGCAGGCGCUAUCGCUGCUCACCGAUGCUUCGAGCUGAAGAAGAGCUUAGAUCAGAGCUGCCUGAUCUGCCUCCACCCCUGGAGGAGGCCUGUCCCAAUGAGCCAGGCAGCAAGAUUAAGAGUGUCACCAACUAAUGGGCCACGCAGCUUGGACAGCAAAAGCCCCGGCGGGUCAGCAUGCCGGACCUCCAGGUGGAAUGAGCUACUCAAGCUAAUCCCUCCCUAGUCACCAGACUCCUUCUCUGCCUCCAGCUCACUGCCACCAAGAGAGACCCCCUUCCUUCCUCCCCGCCUCUGUUCUUUUCUCUCUCAUUCACUUGAGCUCACAGGGGAACCGGCUGCACCUUCGAGAAAAGGGAGGAUUUCCGUCUGGGGGUUAGGGGGCGUGGUGGAGGGGCUGGGGAACGCAGAGCAGCGAUUACAUAAAGGGGAGAGGAAGAUGGGCAUCCUGCAUGAAAGUGCGGGUAAGACGGGUAGCCUGGCACCGGCGAGAUCCUAGGGACUCACUACCUUUACCAGUGCAAGAUGAGGGAAGGGCAUUCCUGGCAGGAUUUAGAAACAGAGGGCCUUUGAGUUGAAGUCCCCAGUAACCUCGGGUGCAGCCGGACCUGUUGCCGAGCCAGCCUUGUGCAGAUAAUAAAUCGUCGGGUCUCAGAGCUCCUCUCCACCUGGGCUUUGCAAACUGCAAACCUCUCUCUUUCUACUACUUCUCACCCCGGUCCCCCAAGAAGGCCCACCCUUGCGGUGGGUGCUGGCUAUCUCUGAGACCGUGGGACCGGGAACUACCAGACGGAGUCUCCCAGGCAGCCAUUGCAGACCUUCGGAGGCUAGAAUUCCAGCAGGAGCGAGCCCUGGCCGGGGGCGAGCUUUCCUUCCCCGCCCCCUGGUCUGGGGGAGAGCAGGGACGGGCGCAGAGUCCCACAGCUGGCUCCUCUCCCGCUCCUCUCCGGAGCGCCCAGGGGCGGCCAUCUUUCACGAUGGGGGCGCCAAAGCCUCAGCGCCCCCUUUGGGGAGUCCCCGAGUCCCAGUGAACCCGGAGGAAGUAACGGAUGCAAGGCUCCCAGUGCGCGCGGUAGAUCCGGCACGGUUCUCCACCGCUCAGAUCUGCCUCCCGGGUUCCAGAAUCCGACCCCCAGGGCUCGUUGGCCCAGCUGUCCUAGAGGACGAGGAUUCGGGGCGGGGGAAGAGCACAGGAGACACUUUCCUUCCCUUCGGGACGCCCCAAGCUCCACACAGCGCUGGAGGUCUUGUUUGGCGCCCUGGGACCCACGGCUCCGGACUCCCUCCAGCAGCCGAGGAAGGUGGCGGGAGAGGCCCCAGACCCUUACCGUAGCAUCUUCCCCUGCAUAGUGCGAGAUGACCCGGUGGCCCCCGGGGUGCCGGCUGGACCAUUUGGUGACGUUGUAGACCUUGCGGUCGAUGACGAGCCACUUGUCCGUGCGCAGGUUGUGCUUCUGAAUCUCCUCCCAGCUAAAGGUUGUGAGGCUUUGGGGGAAAAGCGCAGCUUUUGUUCUUCGUGAUCCCGAGUCAAAAGGAGGGAGAGAAAACGGGAAACUUCAGUUUGGAGAGCCAUAACCAGAGACUGGAGGAAACCAGAACAAUUCAGGAUCCAGGAAGAAAAUUCCGGCUCAUUACCCAGCAGGAGGAAGGAAGAAUGUCUCCUCGCCUGGCAACAGCCCAGCCAAUGAGAGACUGUCACGACUCAACCAAUGGCAAGUCACUGUGCUUCAAAUGUCCGGUUUACUCCAAUGGCCUCUCUGUUUAUAAGAGCUCCUCCCAUCUCCCCCUUCUUCUCUAAAAGAAUGGUUCUCUCCUUGGUUCUCCAGUUUUGCUUGUGGUUUGCCACAGGUUGCACGUCCUAAAUUGCAAAUUCUGGAGUUCCCGUCGUGGCGCAGUGGUGAACGAAUCCGACUAGGAACCAUGAGGUCGCGGGUUCGAUCCCUGGCCUUGCUCAGUGGGUUAACGAUCCAGCGUUGCCGUGAGGUGUGGUGUAGGUUGCAGACGCAGCUCGGAUCCCGCGUUGCUGUGGCUCCGGCGUAGGCCGGGGACUGGGGACCUGCAGCUCCGAUUUGACCCCUAGCCUGGGAACCUCCAUAUGUCGCGGGAGCGGCCCAAAGAAAUAGCGAAAAAGACCAAAAAAAUAAAUAAAUAAAUUGCAAAUUCUUUGCUGUUUCCAUAUAAACCUAUUUUGCUGGUAAAAUAUCUGGCUGUUGGUGUUAGGUCAACACCAUCAGACGUACCUGCAAAGCCUAUAGAUUUGAGUGAAUUCCUCUCUUUUCAAGAUUCCUAAAACAUCCUGAGUUCCUGCACUUGCCAGGAAGUAACUGUCCUUACCUGGUAAUGUUGCUGGUAAAUUUGUGAGCAAGAUACCAGGCCAAUUUUUCCAAGGGGCUUUGUUGGCUCCAUAAUGUCAACCUUAGUUUCUUAAAGCUGUCUGGUCAUCUCUGGGUUUCUGUACAUCUCUCUCAAAGCUUCGAUAAAAUAACCAGCGUUUCCAGUUGUGUCCUGUUACAAGGAGAGCAGAUUCUUAUGGAACUUAUGCAAAUAAAUAUAUUGCCAUGAAAAUAAGAAUACUCACUGAGAGUUUCUGAAUUCUGGAGGGAUCUGGUAGGGAGAAAAAGACAAAUAUUUUAUUUUUGUUCACAAAGUUAUAUUUCACUGAAUUGCAAUAUGUCAUAGCUUAAGAGAAAAAAAUUUCCUUAAAUGUGGAGAAACAAAACAUUAAAGAACUAGCAAUAAAACAAA